GCAGAGCUAGGCGUUGAGGGAUGGACAUAGAAGAAGAAAGAAAGAACAAGAAGAGCCAAGAUUUCAGUCAAUAAGCAGAGCCUUGGGACAUGAGCGGGGUUUGCGCUCUUGGAGCUGGAGCGAGUGGCCAGUCUCCCUGUCAAUCGUCGCAGACCCGCCAAUGACGACGUGUGAAGGCGGGGCCAAAGGAACGCUGUCCAGGGAAGCGAAACGCUUGACCGGGCUCUUUAAAAUGUGGAUUGUGCAGCGCGGCUUCCGUGGACCGUUUCCCUCCAGGAUGGGGGAACAUGGCGGCUCCGUCUCCUGCUGUCCCCAAAGUGCUUGUUGCUGCUCAUAUCUGCUUGUCAGAGAACCUAAGUAGCCACUGUGCCUCACCUGAUGGAAGACAAAGCAGUAUCAAAGGUUUUCAUCCUAGAAGCAGGGAGCCCAUAAGGCUUUGGCACCUGCAGGAAGCCACCCUGAUUGCAGGGCUUCUGGCACUUUCCAGCCUACUGCUACAUAUAAAUCAUCGAUAAACAUGAGAUUGCAAUUAAGAAGAAACAAAGCACUUUGAAUGAGAGACAGCAGAAGAAAAACAGCCCAAUCAAACCUGAAAGGGCCUCAGAUAUUGAAAAUGUGCGUUAGUCUGAGAAAGGAAUGUACUGCUCCACUCAUUUUGCAGACCUAGAAUGUAAAACUGAUAUCUUGCAUAUGUUUAAAGAAAUAAGAGAAUACUGGAAACAUGAACAAGGAAUAAAGGGCUACCAAAAAUGAUCAGAUUUCUUCUUUCUCUUCUCUCACUGAAAGAUUCAGUCCAAAAGCAAUUAGGUGAGGCCAAGCAAUGUAGGUAUUUGUGUUGGAGGAGCUAGGGUGACCCUGCGUUACGUGAUGUCAGAGCUUGAGCAGGGUGAGCAGAGCAGCC
rnacentral:lncRNA from 1 species